AUUGAACGCUGGCGGCAGGCCUAACACGUGCAAGUCGAGCGGAUGAAGGGAGCUUGCUCCUGGAUUCAGCGGCGGACGGGUGAGUAAUGCCUAGGAAUCUGCCUGGUAGUGGGGGAUAACGUCCGGAAACGGGCGCUAAUACCGCAUACGUCCUGAGGGAGAAAGUGGGGGAUCUUCGGACCUCACGCUAUCAGAUGAGCCUAGGUCGGAUUAGCUAGUUGGUGGGGUAAAGGCCUACCAAGGCGACGAUCCGUAACUGGUCUGAGAGGAUGAUCAGUCACACUGGAACUGAGACACGGUCCAGACUCCUACGGGAGGCAGCAGUAGGGAAUAUUGGGCAAUGGGCGAAAGCCUGAUCCAGCCAUGCCGCGUGUGUGAAGAAGGUCUUCGGAUUGUAAAGCUCUUUAAGUUGGGAGGAAGGGCAGUAAGUUAAUACCUUGCUGUUUUGACGUUACCAACAGAAUAAGCACCGGCUAACUUCGUG
rnacentral:rRNA from 1 species